rnacentral:tRNA from 1 species
GAAAUAAUAAAUUUAAAAUUUAAGCUUCUAACUUAAAACUUAAGCGUUGAAAUACGUUUUUAUUUCA